GGACACGCAGGCUCAGCGGCCAUGGCUCACGGGUCCAGUGGCUCCACAGCAUGUGGGAUCCUCCAGGACUGGGGCACAAACCCGUGUCCCCUGCAUCGGCAGGUGGACUCUCAACCACUGCGCCACCAGAGAAGACCUAUACACUCUUUUUAAGCUCUUUAAUCUGUCUGGAUUUCAUUUUUACAUGCCAAACAAGUAAGUGUGAAAUAGUGUCCCAUGGUGGAUUUGAUUUGCAUUUACCAAGU